UACAGAGGGUGCGAGCGUUAAUCGGAAUUACUGGGCGUAAAGGGUGCGUAGGUGGUUAGUUAAGUUAGAUGUGAAAUCCCUGGGCUUAACCUAGGAAUUGCAUUUAAUACUGAUUGGCUAGAGUUUGGGAGAGGGAAGUGGAAUUUCCGGUGUAGCGGUGAAAUGCGUAGAUAUCGGAAGGAACACCAGUGGCGAAGGCGACUUCCUGGCCCGAUACUGACACUGAGGCACGAAAGCGUGGGGAGCGAAC
rnacentral:rRNA from 1 species